rnacentral:rRNA from 1 species
AUGAACGCUAGCGACAGGCUUAACACAUGCAAGUCGAGGGGCAGCACAGGUAGCAAUACCGGGUGGCGACCGGCGCACGGGUGAGUAACGCGUAUGCAACUUGCCUAUCAGAGGGGGAUAACCCGGCGAAAGUCGGACUAAUACCGCAUGAAGCAGGGGCCCCGCAUGGGGAUAUUUGCUAAAGAUUCAUCGCUGAUAGAUAGGCAUGCGUUCCAUUAGGCAGUUGGCGGGGUAACGGCCCACCAAACCGACGAUGGAUAGGGGUUCUGAGAGGAAGGUCCCCCACAUUGGUACUGAGACACGGACCAAACUCCUACGGGAGGCAGCAGUGAGGAAUAUUGGUCAAUGGGCGUAAGCCUGAACCAGCCAAGUCGCGUGAGGGAUGAAGGUUCUAUGGAUCGUAAACCUCUUUUAUAAGGGAAUAAAGUGCGGGACGUGUCCCGUUUUGUAUGUACCUUAUGAAUAAGGAUCGGCUAACUCCGUGCCAGCAGCCGCGGUAAUACGGAGGAUCCGAGCGUUAUCCGGAUUUAUUGGGUUUAAAGGGUGCGUAGGCGGCCUUUUAAGUCAGCGGUGAAAGUCUGUGGCUCAACCAUAGAAUUGCCGUUGAAACUGGGGGGCUUGAGUAUGUUUGAGGCAGGCGGAAUGCGUGGUGUAGCGGUGAAAUGCAUAGAUAUCACGCAGAACCCCGAUUGCGAAGGCAGCCUGCCAAGCCAUUACUGACGCUGAUGCACGAAAGCGUGGGGAUCAAACAGGAUUAGAUACCCUGGUAGUCCACGCAGUAAACGAUGAUCACUAGCUGUUUGCGAUACACUGUAAGCGGCACAGCGAAAGCGUUAAGUGAUCCACCUGGGGAGUACGCCGGCAACGGUGAAACUCAAAGGAAUUGACGGGGGCCCGCACAAGCGGAGGAACAUGUGGUUUAAUUCGAUGAUACGCGAGGAACCUUACCCGGGUUUGAACGCAUUCGGACCGAGGUGGAAACACCUUUUCUAGCAAUAGCCGUUUGCGAGGUGCUGCAUGGUUGUCGUCAGCUCGUGCCGUGAGGUGUCGGCUUAAGUGCUAUAACGAGCGCAACCCUUGCCACUAGUUACUAACAGGUAAAGCUGAGGACUCUGGUGGGACUGCCAGCGUAAGCUGCGAGGAAGGCGGGGAUGACGUCAAAUCAGCACGGCCCUUACAUCCGGGGCGACACACGUGUUACAAUGGCGUGGACAAAGGGAGGCCACCUGGCGACAGGGAGCGAAUCUCCAAACCACGUCUCAGUUCGGAUCGGAGUCUGCAACCCGACUCCGUGAAGCUGGAUUCGCUAGUAAUCGCGCAUCAGCCAUGGCGCGGUGAAUACGUUCCCGGGCCUUGUACACACCGCCCGUCAAGCCAUGGGAGCCGGGGGUACCUGAAGUCCGUAACCGAAAGGAUCGGCCUAGGGUAAAACUAGUGACUGGGGCU